rnacentral:snRNA from 1 species
ACGUGAUUUUUAUUAAUUUUGUUAAUGUUGUCACCUCGUUGAUUGCCAGGGUUGAUUCGGGUGAGUUGGCUGGCUAGACUGCUGUCCCCUCCCUUCCUCCCUCACCACUCUGCACGCAUCCCUCCCAGAGCUCCGAGCUCUGUGGAAGACAACUGUUCUUUAGUCAAGGGUGUAGGAGCAGCUGCGCUUCCCUGCUAGAACCACCAAACAAGUUUUCAUUUCUUUAGUCAUCCAUUCCCCCCACCCCCAUUCAGUCAUCCAUCCACCUAGCAAAUAUUUAUU